GACAGAGGGUGCAAGCGUUGUUCGGAAUUAUUGGGCGUAAAGGGCGCGUAGGUGGCUGUACAAGUCGAAUGUGAAAGCCCAGGGCUUAACCUUGGAAGUGCAUUUGAAACUGUAUAGCUUGAGUCUCGGAGAGGGUCGUGGAAUUCCCAGUGUAGAGGUGAAAUUCGUAGAUAUUCGGAAGAACACCAGUGGCGAAGGCGGCUCACUGGACCGGCAUUGACGCUGAGGUGCGAAAGCGUGGGGAGCAAACAGG
rnacentral:rRNA from 1 species